rnacentral:misc_RNA from 1 species
CAACACUCAAGCUCUGCUUGGUAUUGGGCCCUGUCGGCAACGACUGGCCUUAAAAUCAGUGGCGGCGCCAUCUGGCUCUAAGCGUAGUAAUACUCCUCGCUACAGAGUCCCGGUGGAUGCUUGCCAGCAACCCCCAACUUUCUAA